UACGUAGGGUGCGAGCGUUGUCCGGAAUUAUUGGGCGUAAAGAGCUCGUAGGCGGCCUGUCGCGUCGGAUGUGAAAGCCCGGGGCUUAACCCCGGGUCUGCAUUCGAUACGGGCAGGCUAGAGUUCGGUAGGGGAGAUCGGAAUUCCUGGUGUAGCGGUGAAAUGCGCAGAUAUCAGGAGGAACACCGGUGGCGAAGGCGGAUCUCUGGGCCGAUACUGACGCUGAGGAGCGAAAGCGUGGGGAGCGAACCGG
rnacentral:rRNA from 1 species